rnacentral:lncRNA from 1 species
CAGGCAGGUGAUGAUGAAUACUCCCUCAUGGUUAAUUUGAAGCGAUUUUAUGAGCUUCAGUUGUCAAAACCUGUCAAAAAUGAUGGUUUAUUUGAGGACAUGUACAGAAUCCUGAGUCAUCUAAAAGAUAUGGAUAAUGAGGUAUGAACUAUUACCUUGAUUAGCUAUUACUACUCCAGUCUCCCUUUGCAGAGUUCACUGUCGGUACUGUAUUAGCUAAUAUGUUCAUGUUUUAAAUAAUUAGGUGAAGAGCUUUCUCCUCCUUAACAUGUACCUUCAAUUAGCAUGGUGCCUGAAUGCUAUUGAUGGUGAAAACCCAUCUGAAGCUUCCAUUGACGAACUUUUAUCCAGGCAAAGCUCUCUUUUUGAAAAACUCUAUUAUUACUUGGUGGUUCUGCCUACUUAUCAGAAAGAGGGAAGGAGCACCACUAUACUUUCCUGCAGAGUAAGUCUUCUGAGUUAAACAUUGAAGAAAAGAACACAUUUUUUUGUAUUAUGUUGUAUGCUGAUCUGCAGGCUGUAUGUCUUGGCUAUGUUUAGCCCACUGACUUGAUAUUGCCUUGUUUUUUUGUAGGUCUGUGUCAUUACUGCUGAGAUGUGGUGCCUGUUUAAGAAGCCAAAAUAUUCUUCAACAAGGCUCGAGAGUUUGGGAUAUCUCCCGCAACUAGAUGUUGUCCAGAAUUUCUGGAAACUAUGUGAACAACAGCUCAACAUACCAGGUUUUGAUGUUACACAGAUUCUAUACUUCAUUCGUUGUAUAGCUUAUAAAAAUAAAUUUCUAAAUAAAACCUCAUCAUCAUGUUGGUGCUACUCUUUUAAUUGAAGUUGAUCAUGUUCAUCAACAGAUGAAAUAGAAGAUGAAGAUGCAAAUGAAGAAUAUAUUGAAGACACAAACAAGGAUGUUGUCAUGAUUGCAGCUGCAAAGCUAGUGCUAGCUGAUACAGUUUCAAAGGUCUCUGCUACGUUUUCUAACUGUAAUGAACUGUUAGGUCCUCAAGCAAUGUUUUCCUACUACAUCUUCUGUUGUACCAUAAUUUGGUCACCUUGGCAGCUUCCUAUUGUCAGACAAACUAAGUUUUCAAUUUUAUUUCUGUGUGCAGGAUUACCUGGGCCCAGAGCUUGUUUCUCACUAUGCAUCCCAUGGAACAAGUACUACAGAGAUAAUCAAACAUCUAAUCACCUCGCUUCGGAAAAAUGCUGACAACAACAUGGGUGCCUUAUUUUUCGAGGCACUGAAAAGGGUAGGUAUUUUGUCCCACCUUCAAAUGCACACAAUUAUUAUUUAUUAUAGUAACUAUUGAGUAAUUAUAUUAUGUUACUGAUUGUCGAUUAGGAAUUUACUUGUUCCAGCUUUUACAAUGUUUAACAAACUUUAAAGGAACUUCUGACUUUGUCAACCAUAUCUUGUAUUUUGGAAGUAUUUUGACUAAAGACACUUAUACUAAACUCACUUUUGUAUUAGAAACUUUUGCUUUAUCUGCUUUUAACUGAUUUUAUGUGUGUGACUUUCUUUUGUAAACUUUUCUUUAUUUUCAUCUAACUAGGGAUAUGAGCGGUAUAUGGCCCAUGUAAGUGAUGGGGAAAAUCAAACCCUCAUUGGCAAGUCUUAUUCAGAAUGCCAAGAUCUUGCUGGUCGGCUCGCGGGGUCCUAUGUUGGUGCCUCGCGCAAUAAAAACAAGUCUGAGAUCUUGAAGAUAAUCCAAGACGGUGUUUCUUUUGCAUUUGUGGACCUUCCAAAGCAAUUGUCUUUCCUCGAGGCUGCUCUACUGCCAUUUGUUUCUAAACUUCCAUCGUCAGAUAUACCAGACAUGUAUGGCAUUUACUCUUGUCAUUUAUGAUGCUUCCAUUUAUUUUAUUUAUGCACAAUUUUCAUUUAUUUCAUUGUAUGUAGCCUGAUAGAUGUACAGAAGAGGACUCAAGAUACUAAUACUAAUGAAGAUCCAAGUGCUUGGCGCCCGUACUUUACGUUUGUAGAGCAUCUACGCGAUAAGCAUGCAAAGAAUGAGGUUUUGCAGGGUAUGUUGAACUCUUCCUGAAUUUUCCCUUUUUUAUGUUACAUAACUGCAAAUCUUUCUUAUUGAAAGUAUGGCCGAUUCUAUUGUUUCCUAUCCAGAGGAAAAGGAGGAAAAACCUGUAAAGCGCAGGGGUCGGCCAAGGAAGGUUAGAGAUGUACCUGCAAGGAAUCUUUUUGAUGGACACAAGUCUAGCGAUGAAGAGUCUGUUAGUGACUCUGAUCAGCAAGGGCAUGGUGAAGACAAUGACGACGAUGACGCAGAUCAGCCUCUGAUCAACACGUUUAGGUCUUCCGCAUCCAAGCUAAGAUCACUGAAGGUUUCUCAGCAAGGAACAAGCGGUCAGAAAGGACCUUCGAGGGCAUCAGGUAAAUGGUCAAGGAUUUUGCUCUUUCCACAUCAGUCGGAUGCACUGACGAAUCUACAGCAGCAACCAUGGUUUCUUUCUCUGUUUCCAUUCUAUUUUUGUGUGGUGUUCCCAUUUUCUAAUUACAGUGUGUAUUUUCAGGAAGCAAUAGCUGAGGGCACGCACUGACGUCGUUACGCAUGACUGAACUUGGCACAAAUGAAUGCAGCAGAUUUGUGGCGUUGUAGAUGAUUUGUACCUAGGUGCUCACCCUUUUGGUAAACAACGUGACAUAGACAUUUGUUAGGUUUUUACCCCUUCGCCAUGUAUAUUAUGUUCAGUAAUAAUAUAUGUAGAAAAUCGCAUGUUGCAUUGUACCAAUUUGAUCGAUGUAUUUCUCCUGGGUUCCGAGACUAAAGAACACUUGCAUGCGAGAGAUAGGGAGAGCAGCAACCAUUUUUUAUUUAUUCAAUGGAGAAUCCGAACCUUGGAUUGGUUUGCAUGGGAACCAAUGAGCCCGGCAAUCCUUGCAUACCAAACCCUCCAUUCUAAAUUGAUCUACAUAUAUAUAUUUUUUGAGGUUAUUUCUAAAUGAUCUACAUAUUUGUGUUCAUUCAUUAAGUCUAUUUGUUAUUUGUGUAUUGGAGUAAAUAGACAUUGAUGCAUGUAUCACAGGUAUUUAUAACCCACAUGCAAUAUCUUGAUCUGCUAUUGGCUAGGAAAUAGUGAGGAUGGUGCAUGCAUCGAGUUUGCUGCUAGAGUAAAUAUAGUACGAGAGAGUUAUUAGCUUUUCUUGAUUUUGGUAUACCUAUGAAAUAUGUAGAUCAAUUUGGAAUGGAGGGAGUAAUGAUUACUCUUUCGCUGUCGCUCCUCUUCGUCGAGCCGCUGCCAUCCCUCCCAUGCCGCUGUUGCUGUUGUAGCCACUCCACCUCGUCGAGCCACCGCUGACCGUCCUUUUCAUCUAGCCACCGUUGCGCGGCAGCCGUUGCACAAGGAGGGCGGCGGGAGGAAGUUCCUCUCAGGCCGCCGCCGUCGCUCCCUUCCUCCACAAGCCAGCGUGCCGCUCCCUCCCUCCGUGAGCCAGCGUCGAGCGAAUCUUCUCCCUCUGUGCCUCGCGGCCGCUCCCUCCCUCCACGCACCGCCGUGAACACUCGGCGAGAGAGAGAGAGAGAGGGGAUACGGGGGAGAGAAGGGAAUAGAUAUGGAUAGGGUUUGGUCGAUGAUAUUUUAGUCAUUAAAAAGUAAUUAUAUUGCUUUCUUUUUGUUGAAUGAAAAGUUAACGGUACUAUAGUACUAUAGAAACAGGGCCAAACGGAGCACUCAUUUUUAAAAAGUAUGGUUAAAUAAGCAAACUAUAAAAGGUAAGGUCAUAUUGAUAGUUAAGCUUCAAAACAGGGUCAAAUAAGUAAUUGUCCCUAUUGUGUUUUUGAAUAGCAAGAAAAUAGCGCUAAGUCAAACAUUUUUAACUUUAUUACUAAAAAAAAGAUAAAAAAGAUAAAUCAUAUGAGAAUGGAUAUUACUGGAUUUAUCAUUAAACAAACUACCGUAAGAUGCAAUUUUUUGAAACAUUAUAAUUUUUUAAAUAUUAUUGGUCAUUAUAGUAUCUUGAAGAUUCUAUCAAAGUUUAAAAAUGAUUAUAUUUUGAUACGGAUGGAGUACUAGUUUUGGGUUAUCGCCUGGUAAUAAUCACUUUAGUUAGUACCGGUUUGUUUAAUAACAUUCACAAUUUGUUGUGAAAGCAUUUGAUUGAAUUUAAUUGAGUUGAUGCUGAUGUUGGAUGCGGCAUUAACAGAACAGAAACUGUCAAAUGGAUUAGCUGAAAUUAGGUGCAUAAUUUCUUUCAUAGUUAUUAUUAUACCCUACCACGAAAAGGCGAGUGGGUUUGCUGAAAGAAUAUAGAACAUGUUCUUUUGCGAAUUCUAGGCAGGCAAAAACGGAAAUUGCAAAUGGAUAAGCAAAAUAAAAAAAGCCAUUUAGGCUGCUUCCGUUUGGGAGUGUUGGGAAUCCUUCUCUUCUUGCAAGUAAAAUGUAGCGAUGGAUUAGUCAAUAUUAGCUAAAAAAUCUUAAAGAAAUAUAUUAAUAUAAUUUUAAAGUAAUUUUUGUAACAAUUCUUUUACAAAACACAUAUCGUUUUAACUGUUUGGAAAGUGUGUGCAUGAAAAACGAGAGUGAAAGUUAAGAAAGUGUCUAAAGGAUCAUACAUCACCCAAGAAUCUUGGGACCAUUGAACAACACGCAUGUAAAACUUGUGUUUCGAAAGAACCAAUACCCUUUUAACCAAUAAUGUUAUUAACAAUCAUGUGGUGUGCAUUUUAAAAUGUUCAUGUGUUAAGCAUGUGUUGUAACCUACUAAACUUGCAUAUACUUAAUCGUACUUUCUUUCUUUGUCGUGCCUUAAAAAUAAAAAACACAAUAUAAGAUCAACUUUGCCCCUUAUCAUUCUUUUCUACCAUCAUUGUCUUUAACUAAUACUCUGUCUACACCACUGUUGCAUUCCACCUAUCUUUUGCUUAAUUCCUUUGAUUUGUCAUCGUUUUCCUUACUUGUUUUCAGCCAUAAUAUUUAGCGGCCCUCUUUUCUUCGAGGCUACCUACCUUCUGAAGAUGUUGGAAGGCAUUAAUUCAAAUAGCAACUUGAUAAAGCCGUAUAAUCAAUGGCUGGAUGCAGAUAGCCUAUACCCGCAACUUUCAAUGACACUAACUUCUUUAGGAUUGGAGGCAUUAAGCAUAAAAAGAUCAAUAACAUGACAAGUCUGAAAUUCGACGGUUUGAGUGGAUAACCUUGGAAACUACGACCAUUGAACAUCGAAGUUGGAACCAGUAUGCGUGUGGCUGACGACCCUAUAGUAGUAUUCGUCUAAUGUUGAUUCAAGUCUAUAUGUGAAGUGGAUAUCGCUGUGUUUGACGAGUUCUAGCAUGAGUAAUUUUCUUUGUUGAUGAUUACCAAUCUUCUGCAAUGCAAUGCUAUUUUCAUCUCGUUUGGCCUGUCGAACGUGUGCCAAACAAAGUCUAUCAUUCACCGAUAUUUUCUUCUAUGCUAAUCGAAACACUUACGUCUAUGCUGACUCCUCUUAUGUUCAAGUGGAUAAACUCAUCUUUCUAGACAUAGAGUGAAGAUGGCACCAUAUAACACUAUGACUUUUAACUUCACUAGUGAGGUCAUAAUGUUAUAAUGCAAUAGAAGGAAUUGUAACGUACCACGUAGGCGAUAAUGUGAAACGUAGAAUGUAUUCUUUACAACGGGUUGGGACUUGGGAGCCCUUCCUUUUCAAAACACAAAACAGAGCAACAUAUUAGCACACGAGUAAUUAAAUAUCAACUUAAAAACUUAUUAAAUGGAUUAGUAUAAUUUUUUAAAUUAACUUUCUUAUAGAAUAUUUUUUCUUUUGCAAAAACACGAAGUUUAGUAGUUCGGGAAGCGUACGCGCGGGAAAUGAGAGAUUAGAAGUUGGAAAAGGCAAGAAAAUAACACACCUUUACAUAAAAUUUAAUAGUACAACCAAUUGUUGGCUCCAAAAUUAUUCACACCAAGAAUAGCUAUUGUCGACGGAUAAUACCCGUAGACCGUAUUCCGAGGGUAUUGGGGUACACUGGAGCAAGGAUCUACACGAUAUGACAUCAAUCACAUAGAAGACAAAGAUUAUACUGGUUCAGACCCAUCAUAAGGUAAUAGUCCUAAUCCAGAUUUUAUGGACCGUGAAGAAAACUACAAAGAUUACAAUAGAGAACAACAAAACUGUAGAGUACCAAAUAGAUUGUUGUCGAGAUCAACUCGACGAGAUCGAUCGGCGACUAGGUCUUCUAGUCUUGCGGAUUGCUUCUACUAUGGUUAGUGGUGAAAUUAUGAUUCAAUGACCCCGUACCCUCUAGAGGUCUU